UUGUGAGUGGGCAUCUUGUAUAAUUACACUACAUACACGUUUUCUAGCAGAAAUAAUGUUAAUUUGUAAUUGUCCUGUUUAUAGUUACAUCCCUCUCAUAAUAUUAUAAAGCGCUACAGAAUCUGUUGGCGCUAUAUAAAUGGCGAUAGUAAUUUAUUUACACAAAUGCUCAUUUUUAGUCAUGAUUCAUUUAGAAAUUGAUCCAAUGGUAAAAUAAUUAUAAAAUGCAGUAGUAAGGUUGUUCUUUGACCUGUGAACUAAAAUAUAAAUAAUGAGAACCUCUUUCGAAAAAAACUCUACAAAAACAUUUUUUUUAGAAAACCAUGUGUUUAAGAAAUUGGGUAUCAAGAUAAAAAAAGCCUGGCCAUGUAAAAAUUGCUUUUCAGGGUUAUAGGAUUAUAUAACCUUAAAAUAUUGCAGUUUAAGAAAUUUUUACAAAGUAUGGCUUCACUAUUGGGGAUGAAAAGAGAACAUUGCAUAAUACAGGUUUUAUUAGCAUGAAGUGGUUUGGACCCUAUUGAAAGGAAAUGUUUGUUACAUUGCAGGAAUACGAAUUUAUUAAAAGUAGGUAUGCUCAGUAUAUUACAUUAUUAAAAAAUAAAAAAAAGCAAUCCAUGAAUUCACUUCUAGUAUUUUACAAAAAAGACACAUUAAGAUGUCUGUCUGCUGUUAUAAGUGAAGGGUCAUCUGGUUUCUGUUAGGUUAACCUGAAUCAAAUAACAAACAAAAGCAUUUUCUGAACAUCAUCUGGAGACACAAAGAAGAGAAGAGUUCCUCUACCUGCAGAGAAAUGGUAAUUUGUAAGAGCCUUUCUAUUCCUAGAUUAGAAAACAAAAGAUAAGAGCAGGGGAGAAUAUCAUUGCUAAAUGCCAAAUGAAAUAAAGGGGAUUCCGAAAGAGAUGCUGACAUUACAAAACAAUCU